UCAGAAUUCUGGAAAAAGCUCAGCCAGAGUUACCUGUGAGCCUCCACUGCCAUCUACUGAAAGGCUAAGACUACAAUGAGAUGGACUAUUUGUUUUACUAACCUCUGAGAAGGAGGAAGGUCCUAAUUCAAGCUACUGAAGGCAAAAGGCAGCGAAGACAAUGACAGCAGAUUCUUGGCCAGAUGGAUCAGAGAUGGGAGGAGAAAAGCCUAAUAACCUAUACCCACACUUUGGACUAAUUGCAAUCUCACCAUGCUCCCAGCUAGAAAGAA